rnacentral:rRNA from 1 species
GCUUCUCUGCUGACGAGUGGCGGACGGGUGAGUAAUGUGUGGGGAUCUGCCUGAUGGAGGGGGAUAACUACUGGAAACGGUAGCUAAUACCGCAUAAUGUCUCCGGACCAAAGAGGGGGACCUUCGGGCCUCUUGCCAUCGGAUGUGCCCAUAUGGGAUUAGCUAGUAGGUGGGGUAACGGCUCACCUAGGCGACGAUCCCUAGCUGGUCUGAGAGGAUGAUCAGCCACACUGGGACUGAGACACGGUCCAGACUCCUACGGGAGGCAGCAGUGGGGAAUAUUGCACAAUGGGCGCAAGCCUGAUGCAGCCAUGCCGCGUGUAUGAAGAAGGCCUUCGGGUUGUAAAGUACUUUCAGUGGGGAGGAAGGUGUUAAGGUUAAUACCUUUGCUCAUUGACGUUACCCACAGAAGAAGCACCGGCUAACUCCGUGCCAGCAGCCGCGGUAAUACGGAGGGUGCAAGCGUUAAUCGGAAUUACUGGGCGUAAAGCGCACGCAGGCGGUUUGUUGAGUCAGAUGUGAAAUCCCCGGGCUUAACCUGGGAAUUGCAUCUGAUACUGGUAAGCUAGAGUCUUGUAGAGGGGGGUAGAAUUCCAUGUGUAGCGGUGAAAUGCGUAGAGAUCUGGAGGAAUACCGGUGGCGAAGGCGGCCCCCCUGGACGAAGACUGACGCUCAGGUGCGAAAGCGUGGGGAGCAAACAGGAUUAGAUACCCCUGGUAGUCCACGCUGUAAACGAUGUCGACUUGGAGGUUGUGCCCUUGAGGCGUGGCUUCCGGAGCUAACGCGUUAAGUCGACCGCCUGGGGAGUACGGGCCGCAAGGUUAAAACUCAAAUGAAUUGACGGGGGCCCGCACAAGCGGUGGAGCAUGUGGUUUAAUUUCGAUGCAACGCGAAGAAUCUUACCUCCUCUUGACAUCCACAGAACUUAUCAGAGAUGAUUUUGGUGCCUUUCGGGAACUSUGAGACAGUGCUGCAUGGC